rnacentral:ncRNA from 1 species
CAAAGAAGGUUCUUGUAACAAAGAUUAAAAGGGAAUUUAGUAAAUAUCUAAAGCUGAACCCGCAACUGUAAAUUUUGUCCAUUAGGAUACUUUUGGUCAUUUCUUAAUACCACUGUCAUAUAAUUUGAUGGGAAGGUUGAUUGAAGAUGUAAGUCAGGAGACCUACCUUCAUUUUUUU